rnacentral:rRNA from 1 species
UACAGAGGGUGCAAGCGUUAAUCGGAAUUACUGGGCGUAAAGCGUGCGUAGACGGUUAUGUAAGUCAGAUGUGAAAGCCCCGGGCUCAACCUGGGAAUUGCAUUUGAGACUGCAUAGCUAGGGUGCGGAAGAGGGAAGCGGAAUUUCCGGUGUAGCGGUGAAAUGCGUAGAUAUCGGAAGGAACACCAGUGGCGAAAGCGGCUUCCUGGUCCAGCACCGACGUUCAGGCACGAAAGCGUGGGGAGCAAACGGG